rnacentral:rRNA from 1 species
GCGUUAAUCGGAAUAACUGGGCGUAAAGGGCACGCAGGCGGUGACUUAAGUGAGGUGUGAAAGCCCCGGGCUUAACCUGGGAAUUGCAUUUCAUACUGGGUCGCUAGAGUACUUUAGGGAGGGGUAGAAUUCCACGUGUAGCGGUGAAAUGCGUAGAGAUGUGGAGGAAUACCGAAGGCGAAGGCAGCCCCUUGGGAAUGUACUGACGCUCAUGUGCGAAAGCGUG